rnacentral:ncRNA from 1 species
UAUCUUCGGGGCAGGGUGAAAUUCCCGAUCGGCGGUAUUUGAGUUAAUCUCUUGAGCCCGCGAGCCUUUUGGCAGGAUUUGGUGCGAUUCCAAAGCCGACAGUAUAGUCUGGAUGGGAGAAGAUG